CCUGGAACACGGGGGGUGGGGCAAAGGGACCCGCUGUCCUUACUGCAUACAAAGCAGACCCCCAUCAAUGCUAUAUGCAGGGAACACAGCUUUAUGGGAAGGAAAACCAAAGGAGGUAUGGAAUGAGCCCGAGAAAGAAGGAAUCUGAGGGUCAGAAGCCCCUACAGCAUGGUCAUCCAGGCCAUUCUUCUGCUUCCAACUUCUCUGAAUCACUCCAGCCCUCACUGCCAUACUGUUUCCUGACUGUGCAAAGUACUUGCUCAAAAGGCAUAACUGAGGCUUUGCACUCAAUUGUGAUUAGUGCAGAACUUUCUAGAAUGUGGGUUCUGUGUUUUUCAUGCACACAUUUUGUCUCUUCCAAGACUUAGGUUUCCUGAAGGGAACAACAGUUAUUCUGAGCUUUUCUACAUCCCAUGUGCCCAACACCAGCAAACACAUUCACCCAGGACUUUCAUGGUUAGGGCUGAAAUGACAUCUACAGAGCUGACCACAUCAGAGGCCUGACCUCGCCCUUCAUCUUUCCUCAUUCUCUUUUGUGAGCCAAUGAAAUUCUCCCUUGGAUAUAACCAAAGUCCUUCAGUUCAGUUGACCACAUUUUUCUGCUGUUGUAUUGGGAUGGGAAGAACUUCCUGGCAUCCUGGUAACACUGAGGUUGGGGUCUGCCCACCUUCUCCUAUGACUCCCCAUACAAGGAAAACUCCCAAAAGAGUUCUCAACCCUCUGAUUCUGUACAUCCAUCCCUACAGCUGCAGUCCUCAUGCCUUUGAAGGAAGGGCCCAAGGAUAGGCAAUCCCGUGAACUCUGGCUGUUUUGUUCUAGUCUCUCUGUGUCCACUCUUACUAGAAGAAACUUCAUCAAUAGUGGCAGAUCAUCUUUGCCACUUCUCCCAAGAGUAAGAAAUCUGACUGCCUGACUGUCAUACUGGGAGGAAGCCCAAGCUAGCCUGGAGAGAGAUGUUCUCACCAAUCCCCAGCUUCUCCAGUCAUCCCAGUCCGAGGACCCAACAUGUGAGUAUAGGAGCCAAAUGAAGCUUCCUGUCCCAGCACGUGCCACAUGGAGAAAAACUGAGGUACGCAACCAAGAGCCAGAACCAAGGCUCCAGAUACAUGGCCCCACUGAGCUACACCAGCAUCUCCAGGCAUCAGAGCUACCCCAGCUGAGGUCUCCAUCAUUGCACAGCAGGGACAGGCCAUUUCCACUGCAUGUUGCCUGCGCUGCUGACUGAUAAAACCACAAACAUAAACAAAUGGUUUUUCUAUGGCA